UCUGGCCAAACACCACCUGCAGGGCCGCCAUGAGCAGCCACGGCCAGAGCCCGGCCAGUCGCCGCUGGAGAACGAUCAUUGGAUCGGCUGUAGCGGCGGGCUCCGGGUGUACAUCGUGGACUUCAAAAGCUGAGUGGCUGCGGAUCAGACUUCUCUCUGGACCCUUCUUCCCAACAGCUAAAGGUCCCAACAGCGUCUGCGCAUGUGCAGGAUUCUCUAUCUUACGCACAGGCUACUCUAGCGAAUGGUGAAGCUCGUUUAAUUAAGUUAGAUCAAAGCUAAAUCAUUGUCUGCAAGAUCACAACGAUAGUAUUCUAACAACAUAAAACAGAACUGAAUAUAAUAGCAUAGUACGAUUGACAAUGAGAAAUGUGAACGGGGGGCCCCACAAAAAAACAGCACGUGACAAUGAGAAAUGUGAACAGGGGGCCCCACAAAAAAACAGCACGUGACAAUGAGAAAUGUGAACGGGGGGGGCCCCACAAAAAAACAGCACGUGACAAUGAGAAAUGUGAACGGGGGGGGCCCCACAAAAAAACAGCACGUGACAAUGAGAAAUGUGAACGGGGGGGGCCCCACAAAAAAACAGCACGUGACAAUGAGAAAUGUGAACGGGGGGGGCCCCACAAAAAAACAGCACGUGACAAUGAGAAAUGUGAACGGGGGGGCCCCACAAAAAAACAGCACGUGACAAUGAGAAAUGUGAACGGGGGGGCCCCACAAAAAACAGCACGUGACAAUGAGAAAUGUGAACGGGGGGGCCCCACAAAAACUGGCACGUGACAAUGGAUGUAAAGAAACACAUGCAUUGAACUUGAUACGAAUCUUCAUCUCCGGGGGAUCGGGAGAUCCUCUGCCUAUUUUUUUAUUUACCAAGGAAAGUCCCAUUUAAGAUAUAGAAUCUUGUUUACAAGGGACUCCUGGCCAAGAUAGCAGCAGCAAGGAUUAUGCAGAAGUUUAAGUGGAUAGUUGUCUUACCAGGAUAUUUAGUUCGCUGACUGGUGCUUGUUCUCCAGGCUGAGGCUGCAGACAGUAACAUCAUGUAGAACACUGCAGACGUCUGAGUCCAGCACCUGGAUCUCCUUCACCUUGGUGAUGUACUCUGAUGCUUCCUCAGGGCACUGGGGAAAUCACAGCAUGAUCCAUCUCCUAUUAUACAACAGAGUUCAUCAGGACCGCUGAUGACCAUCCAUACCAUACCUGUUUAAUAAUUAAGUUGAUUACUAAGUCAUACGGACUGAGUAUUUUUGCUUUCUCUUUCCACUCACAGUUAUAAAUACGCUGGUUUUGUAAAUUGUAUAGCCUCACUGUAAAUCAGUCUAUACUCUAUAGUUGUAUGUUUGCUGUAUUUAUAGUGUAUAAUUAUGUAAGUUGACUUUGUGUACAUUUCUCUGUUGAUACAUUUGUCUAUUUCUGGCAGCACCUAUUCAAAUUCCAGGUAUGUGUAAAUGUACUUGGCAAAUAAAAGUGAUUCUGAUUCUGA